UGGGGAAUUUUGGACAAUGGGGGAAACCCUGAUCCAGCCAUCCCGCGUGUGCGAUGAAGGCCUUCGGGUUGUAAAGCACUUUUGGCAGGAAAGAAACGUCAUGGGUUAAUACCCCGUGAAACUGACGGUACCUGCAGAAUAAGCACCGGCUAACUACGUGCCAGCAGCCGCGGUAAUACGUAGGGUGCAAGCGUUAAUCGGAAUUACUGGGCGUAAAGCGUGCGCAGGCGGUUCGGAAAGAAAGAUGUGAAAUCCCAGAGCUCAACUUUGGAACUGCAUUUUUAACUACCGGGCUAGAGUGUGUCAGAGGGAGGUGGAAUUCCGCGUGUAGCAGUGAAAUGCGUGGAUAGGCGGAGGAACACCGAUGGCGAAGGCAGCCUCCUGGGAUAACACUGACGCUCAUGCACGAAAGCGUGGGGAGCAAACAGG
rnacentral:rRNA from 1 species